GGGAACUACCAAAAGGAAACGUAGAUCUUUAGAAGAUGAAGAAUUAGAAGAAACAACUGCUUCGGAGUCAGAAUUUCCCUUAUCUUCUGUUCUUGACGGAGACAAUGUUGCCAGGGUUCUCCGUCAGCUGGCUAGCACUGCGGAGCAUUAUAAAAGGUUAACUGAUGAGCUUUAAAGAAAACUUUUUUAUAUAAAAAUAAUUUUAUAAAUGUGAGCAGUGUGACAGUGCCAAUAAUUAGUCAAAAAAAUGGAGGAAGAUGGGAGAAACUAAAAUCUGGAAACAUUAUGAAUGACUGAAAUCUUUAUUAUUUUAUGCACGAUUACGUUAAAUAUUAUUAAUAUUGUCAGAGGUCAGGAAAAGGCCUAAUCCAAAGACUUAGGGUCAUACAAAUCGUUGAGAUAAAACAAUUGUUUCGAUUUCCAUGAUUUCAGGUAGAUAUAAAGCGAUUAUAAUUUUAUACUACAGAGCUGAAAACUUUUGAAUGGGAUAUCCUUAAUCCUGAUCGGAUAAUUAAUCUGGAGAUUAAAAAUGAGA